GUACACGCUGUGACUAGCAUAUCAAUAAGCGGAGGAAAAGUACUACCUACGCUUAGGAUGCUGACGAGACUGUCGAUCUCAUCUAUACAUGACUCUGUGCAUAUCAAUAAGCGGAGGAAAAGAAACUAACAAGGAUUCCCCUAGUAACGGCGAGUGAAGCGGGAAGAGCUCAAAUUUGAAAUCUUAAAGGGUUUCCCUUUACGAAUUGUAGUUUAAAGAAGUGUUUUCUGUUGAGGUUUUGGUAAAAGUUCUUUGGAAUAGGACAUCAUAGAGGGUGAGAAUCCCGUAUUUGACCUUUACUUUCAACUUUGUGAUACACCUUUCAAAGAGUCGGAUUGUUUGGGAAUGCAGUCCAAAAUGGGUGGUAAAUUUCAUCUAAAGCUAAAUAUUGGCGAGAGACCGAUAGCGAACAAGUACCGUGAGGGAAAGAUGAAAAGAACUUUGAAAAGAGAGUUAAACAGUACGUGAAAUUGUCAAAAGGGAAGCGUUUGACACCAGUGUUGUUUUUCUGAAAAUCAAUUAAAGAACUGUUUAUGCUAAGUUGUUUAGACUUUAUCAGCUAUCUGUUUAGUUUUGAGCUUUUCUUUAAUGCACUUUUCAGUUAACAAGUCAACAUCAAUUUCUUUUGCUGUAAAAAAGCUUGAGGAAGGUGGCUUGAGAUUCGUCUUAAGUGUUUAUAGCCUCUUGCCUAUGCAGUCGGAGAGAUUGAGGUCUGCAGCGUAGAUCCUUCGGGGCUAAAUGCAUUUGUGCUAAGUUAUAGCAUUUUAUAGACAACUUGUUGACUAUGAUUUGUCUUGUAGCUUACUCGCUUAUGUUAUUUUACCUACGCUUAGGAUGUUGAAGUCAUCGUAUCGCGC
rnacentral:rRNA from 1 species